rnacentral:rRNA from 1 species
CUAAGGUAGCGAAAUUCCUUGUCGGGUAAGUUCCGACCUGCACGAAUGGCGUAAUGAUGGCCAGGCUGUCUCCACCCGAGACUCAGUGAAAUUGAACUCGCUGUGAAGAUGCAGUGUACCCGCGGCAAGACGGAAAGACCCCGUGAACCUUUACUAUAGCUUGACACUGAACAUUGAGCCUUGAUGUGUAGGAUAGGUGGGAGGCUUUGAAGUGUGGACGCCAGUCUGCAUGGAGCCGACCUUGAAAUACCACCCUUUAAUGUUUGAUGUUCUAACGUUGGCCCGUAAUCCGGGUUGCGGACAGUGUCUGGUGGGUAGUUUGACUGGGGCGGUCUCCUCCUAAAGAGUAACGGAGGAGCACGAAGGUUGGCUAAUCCUGGUCGGACAUCAGGAGGUUAGUGCAAUGGCAUAAGCCAGCUUGACUGCGAGCGUGACGGCGCGAGCAGGUGCGAAAGCAGGUCAUAGUGAUCCGGUGGUUCUGAAUGGAAGGGCCAUCGCUCAACGGAUAAAAGGUACUCCGGGGAUAACAGGCUGAUACCGCCCAAGAGUUCAUAUCGACGGCGGUGUUUGGCACCUCGAUGUCGGCUCAUCACAUCCUGGGGCUGAAGUAGGUCCCAAGGGUAUGGCUGUUCGCCAUUUAAAGUGGUACGCGAGCUGGGUUUAGAACGUCGUGAGACAGUUCGGUCCCUAUCUGCCGUGGGCGCUGGAGAACUGAGGGGGGCUGCUCCUAGUACGAGAGGACCGGAGUGGACGCAUCACUGGUGUUCGGGUUGUCAUGCCAAUGGCACUGCCCGGUAGCUAAAUGCGGAAGAGAUAAGUGCUGAAAGCAUCUAAGCACGAAACUUGCCCCGAGAUGAGUUCUCCCUGACUCCUUGAGGGUCCUGAAGGAACGUUGAAGACGACGACGUUGAUAGGCCGGGUGUGUAAGCGCAGCGAUGCGUUGAGCUAACCGGUACUAAUGAACCGUGAGGCUUAACCUU